UGGAAAAGUAAACAGACGGUUUGAAGGCAACGCUGGCGUCCGGAUCACAUUUUCCCAAAUAAUUGGUUUCUGAGGCUUUAUUACUCCGAUGUGUGGAAUUUUUUGAAUUGAUGUUGAUGAGGAGUAUAGGGUAAAAUGUCUGGCACAGCUGUGUCUAUGACUCCUCCCUUAACGCCUCCCGUCGAAGGCACGGGGGAGGAGGCGAUGGAUUCCGAUAGCUUGGACUACAUGGACUUCUUCAUCAAUGACAUGGAAUUGUCACCAGUGAAGGAAGAAAAAGCUGCUGUGAGCGUGUU